AAAUUGAAGAGUUUGAUCAUGGCUCAGAUUGAACGCUGGCGGCAGGCUUAACACAUGCAAGUCGAACGGAAACAGAAGGUAGCUUGCUACUUUGCUGUCGAGUGGCGGACGGGUGAGUAAUGCUUGGGAAUAUGCCAAAACGUGGGGGACAACAGUUGGAAACGACUGCUAAUACCGCAUAAUGUCUUCGGACCAAAGCAGGGGACCUUCGGGCCUUGCGCGUUUUGAUUAGCCCAAGUGGGAUUAGCUAGUUGGUAAGGUAAUGGCUUACCAAGGCGACGAUCCCUAGCUGGUCUUAGAGGAUGACCAGCCACACUGGAACUGAGACACGGUCCAGACUCCUACGGGAGGCAGCAGUGGGGAAUAUUGCACAAUGGAGGAAACUCUGAUGCAGCCAUGCCGCGUGUGUGAAGAAGGCUUUCGGGUUGUAAAGCACUUUCAGUGGGGAGGAAAGGGUGUACGUUAAUAGCGUGCAUCUGUGACGUUACCCACAGAAGAAGCACCGGCUAACUCCGUGCCAGCAGCCGCGGUAAUACGGAGGGUGCGAGCGUUAAUCGGAAUUACUGGGCGUAAAGCGCGCGUAGGUGGUUAAUUAAGUCAGAUGUGAAAGCCCAGGGCUCAACCUUGGAACUGCAUUUGAAACUGGUUAACUAGAGUUUUGUAGAGGGUGGUAGAAUUUCAGGUGUAGCGGUGAAAUGCGUAGAGAUCUGAAGGAAUACCAGUGGCGAAGGCGGCCACCUGGACAAAGACUGACACUGAGGCGCGAAGGCGUGGGGAGCAAACGGGAUUAGAUACCCCGGUAGUCCACGCAGUAAACGAUGUCUAUUAGAAGUUUGUGGCUAUAUGCCGUGGGUUUCAAAGCUAACGCAUUAAAUAGACCGCCUGGGGAGUACGGCCGCAAGGUUAAAACUCAAAUGAAUUGACGGGGGCCCGCACAAGCGGUGGAGCAUGUGGUUUAAUUCGAUGCAACGCGAAGAACCUUACCAUCCCUUGACAUCCAGAGAAUCACCUAGAGAUAGAUGAGUGCCUUCGGGAACUCUGAGACAGGUGCUGCAUGGCUGUCGUCAGCUCGUGUUGUGAAAUGUUGGGUUAAGUCCCGCAACGAGCGCAACCCCUAUCCUUAUUUGCCAGCGAGUUAUGUCGGGAACUAUAGGGAGACUGCCGGUGAUAAACCGGAGGAAGGUGGGGACGACGUCAAGUCAUCAUGGCCCUUACGGGAUGGGCUACACACGUGCUACAAUGGCAGAUACAAAGGGUUGCUAACCAGCGAUGGUAUGCGAAUCUCAUAAAGUCUGUCGUAGUCCGGAUCGGAGUCUGCAACUCGACUCCGUGAAGUUGGAAUCGCUAGUAAUCGUGGAUCAGAAUGCCACGGUGAAUACGUUCCCGGGCCUUGUACACACCGCCCGUCACACCAUGGGAGUGGGCUGCACCAGAAGUCAUUAGCUUAACCUUUCGGGGAUGGCGAUGACCACGGUGUGGUUCAUGACUGGGGUGAAGUCGUAACAAGGUAGCCCUAGGGGAACCUGGGGCUGGAUCACCUCCUUACGUAAAGAA
rnacentral:rRNA from 1 species